GAGUUUGAUCCUGGCUCAGGAUGAACGCUGGCGGCGUGCCUAAUACAUGCAAGUCGAGCGAACAGAUAAGGAGCUUGCUCCUUUGACGUUAGCGGCGGACGGGUGAGUAACACGUGGGUAACCUACCUAUAAGACUGGAAUAACUCCGGGAAACCGGGGCUAAUGCCGGAUAAUAUUUAGAACCGCAUGGUUCUAAAGUGAAAGAUGGUUUUGCUAUCACUUAUAGAUGGACCCGCGCCGUAUUAGCUAGUUGGCGGGGUAAUGGCUUACCAAGGCAACGAUACGUAGCCGACCUGAGAGGGUGAUCGGCCACACUGGAACUGAGACACGGUCCAGACUCCUACGGGAGGCAGCAGUAGGGAAUCUUCCGCAAUGGGCGAAAGCCUGACGGAGCAACGCCGCGUGAGUGAUGAAGGUCUUCGGAUCGUAAAACUCUGUUAUUAGGGAAGAACAAAUGUGUAAGUAACUGUGCACGUCUUGACGGUACCUAAUCAGAAAGCCACGGCUAACUACGUGCCA
rnacentral:rRNA from 1 species